GUGAGGAAUAUUGGUCAAUGGGCGAGAGCCUGAACCAGCCAAGUCGCGUGAAGGAAGAAGGAUCUAUGGUUCGUAAACUUCUUUUGCAGGGGAAUAAAGUGCGGGACGUGUCCUGUUUUGUAUGUACCCUGAGAAUAAGGAUCGGCUAACUCCGUGCCAGCAGCCGCGGUAAUACGGAGGAUCCGAGCGUUAUCCGGAUUUAUUGGGUUUAAAGGGUGCGUAGGUGGUUUGAUAAGUCAGCGUUGAAAGUUUGCAGCUUAACUGUAAAAAUGCCGUUGAAACUGUCGGACUUGAGUGUAAAUGAGGUAGGCGGAAUGCGUGGUGUAGCGGUGAAAUGCAUAGAUAGCACGCAGAACUCCGAUUGCGAAGGCAGCUUACUAAGCUACAACUGACACUGAAGCACGAAAGCGUGGGGAUCAAACAGGAUUAGAUACCCGGGUAGUCC
rnacentral:rRNA from 1 species